ensembl:lncRNA
CAAGGAGCAGGCAACAGAAACCUGAGGCGCUCAGGCAGGACUCGUGGUCGGGGACAGAAGGCUGACGUGCUCACCGGGGCGGAGACAGACGAACGGGUCGGGAACAGGCAGGGUCGAAACCGGGAGAUCAGUCCAAGAGAGAGGGGACCGGCGACCAAAAGAGACCUGAUUGGCUUCAACACGAUCCGAUGAGGAAGAUUUUCACACGAAUCGGGGGCUGGCGGCCCUCUCCUCAACACAUGCCCACCACCGUACCCUGCUUCAUCUGCGAACCAGCAACCUCCGUCUGCAGGAGCACAUAUCAAAGUUCACUACACCCGGCAGAGGGAGGAAAAGGAAGCGGCAGUGAAAGCAGCACAGGAACGACUCCUCGGCGAAGAGGAGGAAAAGAGACAGGCUGCUCUCCUCACUCGAUCUCGCUCUCCAGGAGCAACCGGAGGGGACACUUCUGCCAUCAACAAACUGAUUGCAGAGCAACCAUCUACAUCAGAUGUUUUUUCCCCCUCUUUC